rnacentral:rRNA from 1 species
UACGGAGGGUGCGAGCGUUAUCCGGAUUCACUGGGUUUAAAGGGUGCGUAGGUGGGAAUGUAAGUCAGUGGUGAAAUCUCCGUGCUUAACACGGAAACUGCCAUUGAUACUAUGUUUCUUGAAUUAUCUGGAGGUCAGCGGAAUAUGUCAUGUAGCGGUGAAAUGCUUAGAUAUGACAUAGAACACCAAUUGCGAAGGCAGCUGGCUACAGGUGGAUUGACACUGAGGCACGAAAGCGUGGGGAUCAAACAGG